CAAUAGCGUAUAUUAAAGUUGUUGCAGUUAAAAAGCUCGUAGUUGGAUUUCUGAUCGAGACAUCAGGUCGGGUCCGAGAGGAUCAUGUACUUUGAUUUUGUUUUGAUCAUCCUUGGGGAGAGCAUUUCUGGCAUUCAGUUGUCGGGAUUAGGAUCCUCAUCGUUUACUGUGAAAAAAUUAGAGUGUUCAAAGCAGGCCUCGGCCUCUGAAUACAUUAGCAUGGAAUAAUAAGAUAGGACUUUGGUGGUCUAUUUUGUUGGUUUGCACGCCAAAGUAAUGAUUAAUAGGGAUAGUUGGGGGUAUUCGUAUUCAAUUGUCAGAGGUGAAAUUCUUGGAUUUAUGGAAGACGAACUACUGCGAAAGCAUUUACCAAGGAUGUUUUCAUUAA
rnacentral:rRNA from 1 species